CUUCAGCAAAUCUCUUUCAAUUAGCCAGAAUUUGGUCUUAUUCCCAUUUGCGCCUGAGUCUUGGAACCAGAGACAUGCCAUGUGCUGAUAUGCUCACAUCUGGAUCACUGAACCAAUCACUGGAAUUCACCUUCAUUCCUAGACCAAUCAGGUCAAGCCCUAGAGCUGGAGGAAAAGAGAGAACUUUCUCUUCCUCAAGACACGUACAGCCAUCCGACAGACAACUAUGGCAGGAAAUACACAAGUCCAGGGCAACUGUGAAUUUCAAAGGUCAUCAGCAGUCACUCACCAACCUCACCUGGAGAUGACAAUUCAGUAAGGAACCUGCUAAAUUUUAAAUAUAGAAGAUGA